AGUGAACGCUGGCGGUAGGCCUAACACAUGCAAGUCGAACGGCAGCACCGUAAGAGCUUGCUCUUCCGGGUGGCGAGUGGCGGACGGGUGAGGAAUACAUCGGACUCUACUUUUUCGUGGGGGAUCACGUAGGGGAACUUACGCUAAUACCGCAUACGACCUACGGGUGAAAGCAGGGGAUCUUCGGACCUUGCGCGAUUGAAUGAGCCGAUGUCGGAUUAGCUAGUUGGCGGGGUAAAGGCCCACCAAGGCGACGAUCCGUAGCUGGUCUGAGAGGAUGAUCAGCGACACUGGAACUGAGACACGGUCCAGACUCCUACGGGAGGCAGCAGUGGGGAAUAUUGGACAAUGGGCGCAAGCCUGAUCCAGCCAUACCGCGUGGGUGAAGAAGGCCUUCGGGUUGUAAAGCCCUUUUGUUGGGAAAGAAAAGCAGCAGGUUAAUACCCCGCUGUUCUGACGGUACCCAAAGAAGAAGCACCGGCUAACUUCGUG
rnacentral:rRNA from 1 species